rnacentral:lncRNA from 1 species
AGGCUUGAGUUUGAAAAAAUUGAAGAACCUGAAUUUAUUGCAUUAUGUCAGAAGUUAAAGGUGCCCGAUCAUGUCAGAGAGAGAGCUUGGCUAACGUGGGAGAAAGUUUCAUCUGUGGAUGGAAUCCUGGAAGGAUAUAUUCAGAAGAAGAAGGAACUCUGGGGCAUCUGCAUCUUCAUUGCAGCAGUUGACCUGGAUGAGAUGCCAUUCACUUUUACUGAGCUUCAGAAAAGCAUAGAAACCAGAAUUUAUCAUUUUUUAUUUUAUGUUUCUCCUACAGGUAAGUAUACCAUGUGCAGUGCCUGAAGAGGCCAGGAGAGGGUAUCAGAGCCCUUGGAACUGGACUUAGAGAUAUUGUCAGUCAUCAUACGGGUGCUAGAAACUGAUCCCUGAUCCUUUGUGUUCAUGGGCACCCACACACAUCCAUACAAAAACAGGUGCAUGCACGCGUGCACACACGCGCACAGAGACUUGGAAGU